UACGUAGGGGGCAAGCGUUGUUCGGAAUCACUGGGCGUAAAGCGCACGCAGGCGGAUCGUUAAGUCAGGGUGAAAUGCCGAGGCUCAACCUCGGAACUGCCUUUGAUUACUGGCGAUCUUUAGAGUCCGGGGAGAGGUGAGUGGAAAUUUCCUGGUGUAGCGGUGAAAAUGCGCAGAUAUCAGGAGGAACACCAAUGGCGAAGG
rnacentral:rRNA from 1 species